rnacentral:misc_RNA from 1 species
AACCAUCUAUUUUGGAGAGGCAAAAGCAGCCGUCCAGGUAGUUGCAUAGAAUAUUUUCAUGAUCAAAUUUGAAAGAAAAUGUUAAAAAUGAAUGCUGGUUUUGCUAUGCAGUUCUUUGCUGAGGCUGGAUUUCCUUGUUCAACAAGAAGAAACCCUUCAGAUCAUUUUCUUAGGUGCAUCAAUUCAGAUUUCGACAAGAUAGCUGCAAUUCGAUUG